UCAACAUGGAUACCCCGGGAGAUCACUCUCCCAGGACUCUGUCCAGGUGGCAUAGGGGAGCAUAGUGUUCUUCCCUAUGAUGUACAGUCUCUUUCCACAGCACUGGAGAAGAAGCUGGCCCUUGUGUCUGCACCUGCAUAUGCCUACAACUUCUCAGAGUUCUUUGGGCACUGACUGAGGAGAUAAACCAUGCAGGAAACAAUG
ensembl:snoRNA SNORA73 Small nucleolar RNA SNORA73 family